rnacentral:lncRNA from 1 species
UCCUCUUUCAAGUCCAACAUCACUCCUUGCAAAAUCUGAAAAAAAUACCCACCAAAGGCUUCUUCCAUUUGAAAAAAGACAUUCGUCAGUCUAAGUAUCAAACCCAAACAACAUUAGUCCAGAUCCCAAGCUCUGCCACCUUUGCAACUUUGGCUGAAGUCAGAGAGAAAAACUCUUUUCAUCACACCACAAUUCAACCAUAUAUUCUUCCUUGAGUUGAUCCACCAAUGCCAACACAACAGAAAAUCUAUUUCUUACCAAUUCUAUUCUUUUUGAAACACUACCGCUUUAGCCAACCGUAACCACCA